rnacentral:rRNA from 1 species
AGGUCGAUCUGGCUCAGAACGAACGCUGGCGGCGCGUCUUAAGCAUGCAAGUCGAACGGCAAGAGGUAGCAAUACCUCCUAGAGUGGCGGACUGGUGAGUAACACGUGGGUGACAUACCCUUCAGAUGGGGAUAGCUAUUAGAAAUAGUAGAUAAUACCGAAUACGAGCACAGGGGUUAGAGAUCUGUGAGGAAAGGAGCUAAGGCUCCGCUGAAGGAAUGGCCUGCGGCCCAUUAGCUAGUUGGUGAGGUAAGAGCCCACCAAGGCGAUGAUGGGUAUCCGGCCUUAGAGGGUGAACGGACACAUUGGGACUGAGAUACGGCCCAGACUCCUACGGGAGGCAGCAGCUAAGAAUAUUCCGCAAUGGACGAAAGUCUGACGGAGCGACGCCGCGUGGAUGAAGAAGGCCGGAAGGUUGUAAAAUCCUUUUGAAACUGAAGAAUAAGCGUUGUAGGGAAUGACAGCGUGGUGACAGUAGGUUUUGAAUAAGCAACGGCUAAUUACGUGCCAGCAGCCGC